rnacentral:tRNA from 1 species
AUAGUUAAAGCUUUAGAAAGAAGCGUUAGAUUUUUAAUCUUAAGAUUCCUUAAUAUAGGAUAGCUGUG